GCAUCUUUUAGCUAUUAAUAGUCAUUAUUUCUGUUUAGGCUUAUUUUAGCUAGUUGGUUUCUGGCUUAGUUCCUUGUAUAGUUUCCUCAUCUUGGGCCUGUCCAUAGAUGAUGUAGCUAUAUUCUGGGGUAUGCCCUUUGCCUUUGUAAUUUGGUUCCUUUUAUACAAACAAAAAUUUAGCAAAAAAAUAAAAUAAAAAAUCUGGUAGGAGUGUUAACGACCACAACAUGAUAGAGCUUGGCUCCCUAAAACCCCUGUUGAUCUUCCUACGGUCCCUGCAUCGGUGUCGGGUCUGAUAUCCUCUAAGGUCGCGU
rnacentral:lncRNA from 1 species